rnacentral:rRNA from 1 species
AACGAACGCUGGCGGCAUGCCUAACACAUGCAAGUCGAACGAGACCUUCGGGUCUAGUGGCGCACGGGUGCGUAACACGUGGGAACCUGCCCUUAGGUUCGGAAUAACUCCCCGAAAGGGGUGCAAAUACCGGAUAAUGUCUUCGGACCAAAGAUUUAUCGCCUUUGGAUGGGCCCGCGUUGGAUUAGCUAGUUGGUAGGGUAAAAGCCUACCAAGGCGACGAUCCAUAGCUGGUCUGAGAGGAUGAUCAGCCACACUGGGACUGAGACACGGCCCAGACUCCUACGGGAGGCAGCAGUGGGGAAUAUUGGACAAUGGGCGAAAGCCUGAUCCAGCAAUGCCGCGUGAGUGAUGAAGGCCUUAGGGUUGUAAAGCUCUUUUACCCGGGAUGAUAAUGACAGUACCGGGAGAAUAAGCUCCGGCUAACUCCGUG